UACGGAGGGGGCUAGCGUUGUUCGGAUUCAUUGGGCGUAAAGGGUGCGUAGGUGGCGUCGUAAGUCGGGGGUGAAAUCUCGGGGCUUAACUCCGAAACUGCAUUCGAUACUGCGGUGCUUGAGGACUGGAGAGGAGACUGGAAUUUACGGUGUAGCAGUGAAAUGCGUAGAGAUCGUAAGGAAGACCAGUGGCGAAGGCGGGUCUCUGGACCGUAACUGACGCUGAGGAGCGAAAGCAUGGGGAGCGAACAGG
rnacentral:rRNA from 1 species